rnacentral:rRNA from 1 species
GACGAACGCUGGCGGCGUGCUUAACACAUGCAAGUCGAACGAAGUGGCGAACGGGUGAGUAACGCGUAAUCCACCUGCCCUUCAGAGGGGGACAACAGUUGGAAACGACUGCUAAUACCGCAUACGGAAGGAGGGGUUUGCGUCUGAUUGGCUAGUUGGAGGGGUAACGGCCCACCAAGGCGAUGAUCAGUAGCCGGUCUGAGGGGGUGAACGGGCAAAUUGGGACUGAGACACGGCCCAGACUCCUACGGGAAGCAGCAGGGGGGAAACUUCCGCAAUGGACGGAAGUCUGACGGAGCAACGCCGCGGGAGUGAUGACGGCCUUCGGGUUGUAAAGCUCUGUUAAUCGGGACGCGGUACCGGAAUAGAAAGCCACGGCUAACUACGUGCCAGCCGCCGCGGUAAUUC